GGUUAAGCGACUAAGCGUACACGGUGGAUGCCCUGGCAGUCAGAGGCGAUGAAGGACGUGCUAAUCUGCGAAAAGCGUCGGUAAGGUGAUAUGAACCGUUAUAACCGGCGAUGUCCGAAUGGGGAAACCCAGUGCAAUUCGUUGCACUAUCGUUAACUGAAUACAUAGGUUAACGAGGCGAACCGGGGGGAACUGAAACAUCUAAGUACCCCGAGGAAAAGAAAUCAACCGAGAUUCCCCCAGUAGCGGCGAGCGAACGGGGAGCAGCCCAGAGUCUGAAUCAGCUUGUGUGUUAGUGGAACGGUCUGGAAAGUCCGACGGUACAGGGUGAUAGUCCCGUACACCAAAAUGCACAGGCUGUGAACUCGAAGAGUAGGGCGGGACACGUGGUAUCCUGUCUGAAUAUGGGGGGACCAUCCUCCAAGGCUAAAUACUCCUGACUGACCGAUAGUGAACCAGUACCGUGAGGGAAAGGCGAAAAGAACCCCGGCGAGGGGAGUGAAAAAGAACCUGAAACCGUGUACGUACAAGCAGUGGGAGCACCUUCGGGUGUGACUGCGUACCUUUUGUAUAAUGGGUCAGCGACUUAUAUUCUGUAGCAAGGUUAACCGUAUAGGGGAGCCGCAGGGAAACCGAGUCUUAACUGGGCGUUAAGUUGCAGGGUAUAGACCCGAAACCCGGUGAUCUAGCCAUGGGCAGGUUGAAGGUUGGGUAACACUAACUGGAGGACCGAACCGACUAAUGUUGAAAAAUUAGCGGAUGACUUGUGGCUGGGGGUGAAAGGCCAAUCAAACCGGGAGAUAGCUGGUUCUCCCCGAAAGCUAUUUAGGUAGCGCCUCGUGAACUCAUCUUCGGGGGUAGAGCACUGUUUCGGCUAGGGGGUCAUCCCGACUUACCAACCCGAUGCAAACUACGAAUACCGAAGAAUGUUAUCACGGGAGACACACGGCGGGUGCUAACGUCCGUCGUGAAGAGGGAAACAACCCAGACCGCCAGCUAAGGUCCCAAAGUCAUGGUUAAGUGGGAAACGAUGUGGGAAGGCACAGACAGCCAGGAUGUUGGCUUAGAAGCAGCCAUCAUUUAAAGAAAGCGUAAUAGCUCACUGGUCGAGUCGGCCUGCGCGGAAGAUGUAACGGGGCUAAACCAUGCACCGAAGCUGCGGCAGCGACACUAUGUGUUGUUGGGUAGGGGAGCGUUCUGUAAGCCUGCGAAGGUGACCUGUGAGGGUUGCUGGAGGUAUCAGAAGUGCGAAUGCUGACAUAAGUAACGAUAAAGCGGGUGAAAAGCCCGCUCGCCGGAAGACCAAGGGUUCCUGUCCAACGUUAAUCGGGGCAGGGUGAGUCGACCCCUAAGGCGAGGCCGAAAGGCGUAGUCGAUGGGAAACAGGUUAAUAUUCCUGUACUUGGUGUUACUGCGAAGGGGGACGGAGAAGGCUAUGUUAGCCGGGCGACGGUUGUCCCGGUUUAAGCAUGUAGGCUGGUUGUCCAGGCAAAUCCGGAUAAUCAAGGCUGAGGUGUGAUGACGAGGCACUACGGUGCUGAAGUAACAAAUGCCCUGCUUCCAGGAAAAGCCUCUAAGCAUCAGGUAACAUUAAAUCGUACCCCAAACCGACACAGGUGGUCAGGUAGAGAAUACCAAGGCGCUUGAGAGAACUCGGGUGAAGGAACUAGGCAAAAUGGUGCCGUAACUUCGGGAGAAGGCACGCUGGUGUGUAGGUGAAGUCCCUGCGGAUGGAGCUGAGACCAGUCGAAGAUACCAGCUGGCUGCAACUGUUUAUUAAAAACACAGCACUGUGCAAACACGAAAGUGGACGUAUACGGUGUGACGCCUGCCCGGUGCCGGAAGGUUAAUUGAUGGGGUUAUCCGUAAGGAGAAGCUCUUGAUCGAAGCCCCGGUAAACGGCGGCCGUAACUAUAACGGUCCUAAGGUAGCGAAAUUCCUUGUCGGGUAAGUUCCGACCUGCACGAAUGGCGUAAUGAUGGCCAGGCUGUCUCCACCCGAGACUCAGUGAAAUUGAACUCGCUGUGAAGAUGCAGUGUACCCGCGGCAAGACGGAAAGACCCCGUGAACCUUUACUAUAGCUUGACACUGAACAUUGAGCCUUGAUGUGUAGGAUAGGUGGGAGGCUUUGAAGCGUGGACGCCAGUCUGCGUGGAGCCAACCUUGAAAUACCACCCUUUAAUGUUUGAUGUUCUAACGUUGGCCCCUGACCGGGGUUGCGGACAGUGUCUGGUGGGUAGUUUGACUGGGGCGGUCUCCUCCCAAAGCGUAACGGAGGAGCACGAAGGUUAGCUAAUCCUGGUCGGACAUCAGGAGGUUAGUGCAAUGGCAUAAGCUAGCUUGACUGCGAGCGUGACGGCGCGAGCAGGUGCGAAAGCAGGUCAUAGUGAUCCGGUGGUUCUGAAUGGAAGGGCCAUCGCUCAACGGAUAAAAGGUACUCCGGGGAUAACAGGCUGAUACCGCCCAAGAGUUCAUAUCGACGGCGGUGUUUGGCACCUCGAUGUCGGCUCAUCACAUCCUGGGGCUGAAGUAGGUCCCAAGGGUAUGGCUGUUCGCCAUUUAAAGUGGUACGCGAGCUGGGUUUAGAACGUCGUGAGACAGUUCGGUCCCUAUCUGCCGUGGGCGCUGGAGAAUUGAGGGGGGCUGCUCCUAGUACGAGAGGACCGGAGUGGACGCAUCACUGGUGUUCGGGUUGUCAUGCCAAUGGCACUGCCCGGUAGCUAAAUGCGGAAGAGAUAAGUGCUGAAAGCAUCUAAGCACGAAACUUGCCCCGAGAUGAGUUCUCCCUGAGACUUUAAGUCUCCUGAAGGAACGUUGAAGACGACGACGUUGAUAGGCCGGGUGUGUAAGCGCAGCGAUGCGUUGAGCUAACCGGUACUAAUGAACCGUGAGGCUUAACCUU
rnacentral:rRNA from 1 species